CCUGGGCCUGGCUGCACAUCCUGCGCUCCGAGCGCUCGGUGGAUGCGAGCUGGGCGGCGUCCCUAGGUAGUUGGGGACCAAAGGGAAAUACUCCCUUUGCCCUUCCAGCUGCGGAGGCCAGAUACCUCUAGACAGUUGUCAGCCAAUCAGGGUCCUGGACCCUGGAAAUCCCCUCACCUCAACCUCUGCUAUGAUAAAAACUCUGCCCCACCUGAGCUCAGGGCUCUCUGCUCUCACCCCUGUGUCGGACAGACAGAAGGACCAAGCUCCGGAGCUUGAAAUAAAGGCUCUUUGCUUUUACCUGCAGGA